GUGGGCGGUUUUCCGGAUUUUGGGCGUAAGAGCUCGUAGGCGGUUUGUCGCGUCUGCCGUGAAAGUCCGGGGCUCAACUCCGGAUCUGCGGUGGGUACGGGCAGACUAGAGUGAUGUAGGGGAGACUGGAAUUCCUGGUGUAGCGGUGAAAUGCGCAGAUAUCAGGAGGAACACCGAUGGCGAAGGCAGGUCUCUGGGCAUUAACUGACGCUGAGGAGCGAAAGCAUGGGGAGCGGACAGGAUUAGAUACCCUGGUAGUCCAUGCCGUAAACGUUGGGCACUAGGUGUGGGGGACAUUCCACGUUUUCCGCGCCGUAGCUAACGCAUUAAGUGCCCCGCCUGGGGAGUACGGCCGCAAGGCUAAAACUCAAAGGAAUUGACGGGGGCCCGCACAAGCGGCGGAGCAUGCGGAUUAAUUCGAUGCAACGCGAAGAACCUUACCAAGGCUUGACAUGAACCGGAAACACCUGGAAACAGGUGCCCCGCUUGCGGUCGGUUUACAGGUGGUGCAUGGUUGUCGUCAGCUCGUGUCGUGAGAUGUUGGGUUAAGUCCCGCAACGAGCGCAACCCUCGUUCUAUGUUGCCAGCGCGUUAUGGCGGGGACUCAUAGGAGACUGCCGGGGUCAACUCGGAGGAAGGUGGGGACGACGUCAAAUCAUCAUGCCCCUUAUGUCUUGGGCUUCACGCAUGCUACAAUGGCCGGUACAAAGGGUUGCGAUACUGUGAGGUGGAGCUAAUCCCAAAAAGCCGGUCUCAGUUCGGAUUGGGGUCUGCAACUCGACCCCAUGAAGUCGGAGUCGCUAGUAAUCGCAGAUCAGCAACGCUGCGGUGAAUACGUUCCCGGGCCUUGUACACACCGCCCGUCAAGUCACGAAAGUUGGUAACACCCGAAGCCGGUGGCCUAACCCCUUGUGGGAGGGAGCUGUCGAAAGUGGAACUGGCGAUUGGGACUAAGUCGUAACAAGGUAACC
rnacentral:rRNA from 1 species